rnacentral:rRNA from 1 species
AGCUCUGUCAGCGUAUAUCAAAGUUGUUGCAGUUAAAACGCUCGUAGUCGAAUCUUGGCUGAACUUACGCGGAGUCCGCAAGGAUUCUGCGGUUGAGGAAAGCCUUUGUGGAUUGUGUGCGCGGAGGUGUUUUAUUACACUUCCGUUGUACUGCCACCGUUUACUGUGAAAAUUAGAGUUUUCAAAGCAAGCGAUUUGCCCUGAAUACGUUAGCAUGGAAUAAUAGCAUAGAACCUGGUCUUUUUUUGUUGGUUUGUAUAAUUUCAGGUAAUGAUUAACAGGGACGGUUGGGGGCAUUUGUAUUCCGAGGCAAGAGGUGAAAUUCUUAGACCCUCGGAAGACAAACAGCUGCGAAAGCGUUUGCCAAGGACGUUUUCAUUGAUCAAGAACGAAAGUACGC